GGUGCGCGAGUGGGAAGCGAAGCCGGUCGCGACGGACCACGGCCGAGGGAGGCCGCCCCGCCCCGGUACCACCCGACAGAUUCCUCGUCUGAACCGUACUUGCAUUCCAUUUCCGCCCCGCAGCGCCUGCCUCAGAUCCGCGUGCGCUGCGCCCCCAAUUCCCACCCCCUCGCUCGCUCACUCACACACGCGCACAGUCGCACACGCGCUCGCGAGAGAGACAGCCAGCCCAGCCGGCGGGCGACGCAGGCAGGCA
rnacentral:lncRNA from 1 species